rnacentral:rRNA from 1 species
CCCUUAGGCACUAUAGCAGCCCUAGGGCUCCACACCCUGGAAACUAAGCAGAGUCUGGCAUAGCUGAGGCUUGGAUGGGGGACCGCAUGGGGAGUCAGGAGCUGAAGGGU